rnacentral:rRNA from 1 species
UACGUAGGGGGCAAGCGUUGUCCGGAUUUAUUGGGCGUAAAGAGCGUGUAGGCGGCUUUGCAAGUCCGUUGUGAAAACUCGAGGCUCAACCUCGAGACGCCGGUGGAAACUGCAAAGCUAGAGUCCGGUAGGGGAGACUGGAAUUCCUGGUGUAGCGGUGAAAUGCGCAGAUAUCAGGAGGAACACCGGUGGCGAAGGCGGGUCUCUGGGCCGAUACUGACGCUGAGGAGCGAAAGCGUGGGGAGCGAACAGG